rnacentral:rRNA from 1 species
UCUACGGGACGCAGCAGUGAGGAAUAUUGGUCAAUGGGCGGAAGCCUGAACCAGCCAUGCCGCGUGCAGGACGACGGCCCUACGGGUUGUAAACUGCUUUUCCGGGGGAAGAAUAACCCCCCUGCGGGGGGGGAUGCCGGUACCCCGGGAAUAAGGAUCGGCUAACUCCGUGCCAGCAGCCGCGGUAAUACGGAGGAUCCUAGCGUUAUCCGGAUUUACUGGGUUUAAAGGGUGCGUAGGCGGGCGUUUAAGUCCGCGGUGAAAGUCUGCGGCUCAACCGUAGGAUUGCCGUGGAUACUGGACGUCUUGGAUUCGGUCGGGGCGGGCGGAAUGCGUGGUGUAGCGGUGAAAUGCAUAGAUAUCACGCAGAACGCCGAUAGCGAAGGCAGCUCGCCGGGCCGAAAUCGACGCUGAGGCACGAAAGCGUGGGGAUCAAACAGGAUUAGAUACCCUGGUAGUCCACGCCGUAAACGAUGAUGGCUGGGUGUUGGCGAUACAUAGUCAGCGCCUGAGGGAAACCAUUAAGCCAUCCACCUGGGGAGUACGGCCGCAAGGCUGAAACUCAAAGGAAUUGACGA